rnacentral:lncRNA from 1 species
AUUAAUAAAACCCUACUUUUGCUUUUGUGCGUGUGACUGGAAUUUGGGGGGGAUGAGUCUCCUGUCCUUGUGUGUCCGAGUCAGGGGAGGGAGUGAGACAGCCGGCGGCUGCUCACGGCCGGCAACGGCGCGGCGGCAGGCGGCGCUCAGUCCCUGUUCUGCCAGAAAACAAGAGAGGAGAGGAGAGAGUUUAGGAUUUCAGUUUUCAAAUAAAAAAAAGAGAGAGAAAGGGGAGGACAGAGAGAAAAGGGGGAGAAACUUACCUAUUUCCGGUGGCGACGCGGCGGCAGAAGCACCACGGCUGCUGCUGUCGGCCAAAGGAGAAAGAGAGGCAGGGCAGUGGUGGCGCCGGAUCCGGAAAAGGAGGGCGCGGCCGCUGCUGCCCGGCCACGGCUGGAGAGAGAGAGAGGCCGGAGAUUUGAGGGAGAGGUGGUCUGGUCCGGGCACGAUGGAGUAGCAGCGGAGGUGGAGCCUGUCGUGGUCGCCGUUGCUCCAGCGAGCUCCAGCGGCCGUGAGAGCAGUCGAGAGGGAGAGAGACUGGCGGCGGCAGCGAGCUGUUGUCGUCGGAAGGAGGAGGGAAUCGGUGGUUUCAGGGAAGCUAGGUCAGGCGGCGGUGGCUGUUUCUGACUGCGGCGGCCGUGGGUUC